UUAGCUUUCUUGAUAAUUAUUCUUGGUCUCAGUCUCUCUCUUUCUUCUUCAUACAGCUGCAAUCAAAAUUAUUCAACCCCCAUUGCAAAUCAGGUUUAUGGUCAACAUUUCCAGACUUUCAGCUGUUAGCAAUGAACAAAUCAGACAAAAGCAAAUGAAAUAGUUCAACACAACGAAUGCUCCAAGUGGUGUCCCCAAAUUCAACUGAAAAUGCCACUUAUAAUGAUUUCUCCAGUUUCAAAAUUAUUCAAUCCCUUCAUUGCAAGAAUCUUUAGUACUUAGUAGAGCACCCUUUUGCUGUUAUGACCUGCUGCAAACGAGGUGCAAAGCUUCUGGCAGUGUUCCUGAGGAAUCUUACCAUAAUCUUAUCAUUCCUCAUGAGCAAUGGCCUCCAGUUCAGUAAUAUUCUUGGGUUUGCGUGCUGCAACUGCCUUCUUCAAAUCCUACCAGAGAUGUACUAUGGGGUUCAAGUCAGGUUACUGUGAUGGCCCUGUAGAAUCUUCCAGGACUUCUUCUGUAACCAAGCCUUGGUGGAAUUUGAGGUAUCCUUGGGAUCAUUGUCCUGUUGGAAGAUCCAAUGACGCUCAAGCUUCAGCUUCAUCACAGACGGCAUGAAUUUAUCUCCUAGGAUUUCUGAUACUUCAAUGAAUCCAUCUUGCCUUUCAGAUGCUGCAGGUUUCCAGUGUCAGAGGAUACAAAGCAGUCACAGAGCAUCACCGAGCCACCACCAUGCUUGACCGUUCUUUCUUCAUUCUUCUUCCUCCAGACAUCCUGCUGAUCUGUCGUGCUGAAAAGUUCCAGUUUUGUUUCAUCACUCCACAGAACAGAAUCCCAAAACUUCUGUGGCUUAUUUAUAUGAUUUUGAGCCGACUUUUCUUGUGCUUUUGGGUCAGUAAUGGCGUACGUCUUGGAGUUCUUGUAUGGAAACCUUCUGCGUUUAGUACUCACCUUACUGUGCUCACUGAAACCUCAGUGCCUAUUGCCACCAAGUCUUGCUGCAGGUCUUUUACAGUCACUCGAGGGUUUUUCACAACCUGCCUUCUCAGAAAUCUGGUUUCAGCUUCCUUUUUCUGCCCCAUCCAGGUAUUUUAUAUAUUUUCUGCCCCUAGCCAGUUCAGGUGUUUCAUGUGUUCCAGCUCAAGCACACCUGGUGCAACUAAUGAAGCCCGUGAAUAUUUGCAUCAGGUAUGCUUGAGACAACACCUGUUUUACAUAUUUGUGCUGUUGUGAGGGAUUCUAUUCAGGGGGUUGAAUCAUUUUGAAACUGGAGAAAUCAUUAUAAGUUGCAUUUUCAGUUGAAUUUGGGGAAACCACUUGAAGCAUUCGUUGUGUUGAACUAUUUCAAUUGGUUUUGUUUGAUUUGUUCUUUGCAAACAGCUGAAAGUCUGUACAUUUUUACAACAAACCUGAUUUGCAAUGUGGGUUGAAUAAUUUUGAUUGCAACUGUACAUGUAGGCCUUAGGUUAGCUGUCUUUUCUCUUGUAAUCCUCCUCCCAACGCCCUUCUCUUUUUCUCUAUCAGUUAUUCUGGCAGGUGGUGAACAGGGGAGUGUUGGAGAGGGGGAGAAAAGCAGAAGAGAGAGUGUGAGGAGAGAUUAAAUGACAGGCCAUAAUAAAAUCUCUUUAUUUGGGAUCAAAAAUGGCCGAGUGAGUCAACCUCGCCAGCUAAAUAACAGUCGUGAUGAUUGUAUACCAUUAUAGCCAUUAUAAACCAACACCAAAGGAUGCUGUUAGUGCCACGUCUCCCUUCGCAGCAAUUAAAGGGCUUUCUUGCAGUUCAUCUCCAGAUGAACAUCCAAGUGUGUGUCUUACACACAGAAUACUCCGUGCAUCACUACUGAUAAAAUGUUGGUCUUCCCUGAAAGAUGCAGGGGAUGCGACAGUGGAAGAGGGAGGGAAACAAGGUGACUACUGAUAGAUGGAUAUGGCAAUGGGCUGCGUUAAUACUUGUCAUACCCAGUGGAAAGGACCUCAAUCUCUUCUAUUGAUUAUUGAUAAUCAUCCACCCACACAUGCUGCACUCCACUCCUGACAGGCACUUUUAUUACACAGCUGCGGUAAUAAAUGUGUGUAUGUGUUCAGCUGUGGGUCAGCUACUUUUGAAGGGAAUGAAACAGGAAAUGAAUGCUAAGAUAGCCUAAUGUAUGAAAUCCGACUUCAUUAACACCCACGGCACUCCUGCGUUUUUUAAAAUAUGCAGUAACCGCUUUAUCCAUGUCACGGUCGCAGUGGAUCCAGAGCCUAGGACACAAUGGAUGUGAGGCAGGAAUCCAUCCUGAAUGGGACAGCAUCCAUCACAGGGCAUCAUAUACAGACACACACACCCCUAAGGGUGCCUAAGGGCAGGUUAGAAUCACCAGUCCACCUGUUUUUGGGAAACUGCAGAGCCUAGAGGUAACUCAUGCUGAUGCAGGGAGAACAACAUAAUAAUGAGUCUUUAUUAAUCACAUAUACAUGUGUACAGUGAAAUUCUUUGGGGUCAGAGCACAGGGGUCAGCCAUGAUACAGUGCCCCUGGAGCAGAGAGAGUUAAGGGCCAAGGGCCCAACAGUGGCAGCUUGGCAGUGCUGGGGCUUGAACCCCCACCCAUCUGAUCAGUAACCCAAAGCCUUAACCGCCAAGCCACCACUGCCCCACUUCAUCAUGCUGAGAAACUGCACACAGAGAGUAACCAGUUCAGGCUUGAACUGAAGACCAUGCAGCAAUGCCUCUUUGCUGACCUUUAAUACAUUUAGCUUGACUAUAUUGUACAUGUGAUGGGUAUUGUGGGAAAAAAAAGCAGUUCUUUAUAAUGCUCAGGUGACAAUAAUUGGUUAUGCGAUAUGUACGGGAUAACACACGGGCGGGGAAAAUUACAGACGCUGGGGUGCUGUAAUACAACCCGAUGUGAAGCUUUACCAUUAUUACUUACGUUAUAGCAGUAAUAAACAGUUGUUCGCUCACUGGCCUCUAGUUUUUCUCUCUUGAAGUUAAACACUUUUUUUUUUUUUUUAAUACGCAGCUUGUCAUGUGACAGAAAAACUAGAAAGCACAAACUCCUCUGUCCUAAAGACUCUCCUGUGUUGGGAAACUUAAAAAGCACAUACAACCGAGACUCCUUCCAUAAAUAUUACAUAAUCCUACUGUCUUCUGAUAACGUCUACUAACAGAAAGCUUCACCAUAUCAAUGGUUAUAUGUUUUUCUUUGUUAAACAACACCAAUUUUAAUUUAAUAACCAUACAAGUCAAUGUGCAUGAGCUGUUACUGUAUGAACGAUAACGUAUUAAAAAUAACACGUUAAUGUAGACCUAUUGUUUAUGUUACAGCCGGAACUGUGUUGCGGUAAAAAAAAUUACAAUAGUUAAUAUACACACCAUUGUUAUUGUGGACACUUUAAAAUAUCAGCAGCGGUUAUGUAGCUUUUUCUAUUUGUAUUGAAUUAUGUUCUGAUUCACUAGUUUGAAUCUUGAAACCUUUGCUGUGAUUUGGUCUCCAAUGUAUUUUAUUAUAUUUUAUGUUAAUUCAAAUGUAGCAUUUAUUCAUCCCUUAAUUGAUAGUAAGCAAACAAAAGUAAGUUAACUACACUCGGAAUUGUGUGUUUAACACUUUCAUGCAAAAAAAGUAUUUAAAAAAUCUACCCAGAUUCUGUAGAUGGGACAUUGAAUGUGGACUUUUCGAUAUCUCAGUGUGGGGGCAUGGUGGCUUAGUGGUUUGCUCAUUUGCCUCGCACCUCCAGGGUGUUCGGAGCUUGCAUGUUUUUCUUGUGCUUCGGAUUUCCUUCAGAUACUCCGGUUUCCUCGCCCAGUCCAAAGACAUGCGUUGUAGUGUGUGUGAAUGGGAGUGUGUAUGCGAUCGUGCCGUACGAUGGGUUGGCGCCCUGAGUCCCCUGGGCUGCCCUGAGUCCUCCAGGCUCACUGCGACCCUGUGCAGGAUAAGCGGUACAGAAAAUGAAUGGAUGGAUGGAUAUUUAAAUAUCACUUACUGUA